rnacentral:rRNA from 1 species
GGAUGCGAUCAUACCAGCACUAAAGCACCGGAUCCCAUCAGAACUCCGAAGUUAAGCGUGCUUGGGCGAGAGUAGUACUAGGAUGGGUGACCUCUUGGGAAGUCCUUUUGUUGCAUUCC